rnacentral:rRNA from 1 species
UACGGAGGGGGGCUAGCGUUGUUCGGAAUUACUGGGCGUAAAGCGCACGUAGGCGGAUUGGAAAGUCAGAGGUGAAAUCCCAGGGCUCAACCUUGGAACUGCCUUUGAAACUCCCAGUCUUGAGUUCGAGAGAGGUGAGUGGAAUUCCGAGUGUAGAGGUGAAAUUCGUAGAUAUUCGGAGGAACACCAGUGGCGAAGGCGGCGAUCUGGGUCGAUACUGACGCUGAGGUGCGAAAGCGUGGGGAGCAAACA